rnacentral:misc_RNA from 1 species
GUGCUUCUUGACAAAGAUUUUAACCCAAAGAUUGGAGAUUUUGGGUUGGCUAAACUCUUUCCAGAUAACAUCACUCAUAUUAGCACAAGAGUGGCAGGGGGAAAAAUUUGGCACCAGAGUAUGCACUGGGUGGUCAGUUAACCAUGAAGGCUGAUGUGUAUAGUUUUGGGGUGCUUAUCCUUGAAAUAAUUAGUGGCAAAAGCAGUACAAAGGCCAGCUGGGGAGAAAUGCAAAAGCUCCUCCUAGAAUGGGCAUGGCAGCUUCAUGAAGA